rnacentral:rRNA from 1 species
UACGUAGGGUGCGAGCGUUGUCCGGAUUUAUUGGGCGUAAAGAGCUCGUAGGCGGUUUGUCGCGUCGGCCGUGAAAUCUCCACGCUUAACGUGGAGCGUGCGGUCGAUACGGGCAGACUUGAGUUCGGUAGGGGAGACUGGAAUUCCUGGUGUAGCGGUGAAAUGCGCAGAGUAUCAGGAGGAACACCCGGUGGGCGAAGGCGGGGUCUCUGGGCCGAUACUGACGCUGGAGGAGCGAAAGCGUGGGGAGCGAACAGG